rnacentral:rRNA from 1 species
GGAGCUUGCUCUGGUGGCGAGUGGCGAACGGGUGAGUAAUAUAUCGGAACGUACCCUGGAGUGGGGGAUAACGUAGCGAAAGUUACGCUAAUACCGCAUACGAUCUAAGGAUGAAAGUGGGGGAUCGCAAGACCUCAUGCUCGUGGAGCGGCCGAUAUCUGAUUAGCUAGUUGGUAGGGUAAAAGCCUACCAAGGCAUCGAUCAGUAGCUGGUCUGAGAGGACGACCAGCCACACUGGAACUGAGACACGGUCCAGACUCCUACGGGAGGCAGCAGUGGGGAAUUUUGGACAAUGGGCGAAGCCUGAUCCAGCAAUGCCGCGUGAGUGAAGAAGGCCUUCGGGUUGUAAAGCUCUUUUGUCAGGGAAGAAACGGUGAGAGCUAAUAUCUCUUGCUAAUGACGGUACCUGAAGAAUAAGCACCGGCUAACUACGUGCCAGCAGCCGCGGUAAUACGUAGGGUGCAAGCGUUAAUCGGAAUUACUGGGCGUAAAGCGUGCGCAGGCGGUUUUGUAAGUCUGAUGUGAAAUCCCCGGGCUCAACCCUGGGAAUUGCAUUGGAGACUGCAAGGCUAGAAUCUGGCAGAGGGGGGUAGAAUUCCACGUGUAGCAGUGAAAUGCGUAGAUAUGUGGAGGAACACCGAUGGCGAA